GUUGGGAGGCGUGAACGCGAGCGUUGGGGGCGCGGGGGCGUGCGCCAGAGAGCGCGCGAGUGUGUGCGCGCGUGUGUGUGCGCAGGGGGAGGGGAGGAGGGGCUUCAGCCCUUCUUACCUCUCGAAGAUGAGCCGCACCAUGAAGAUACAGAAGGCCAGGGGAAAAGCGAGAUAGAGGUCCUCAGCCUGCGGGAAGGUGGCCUCCUCCGUGUUCUUCAGCGCUGUGCUAGCAGGAAGGUCUGUGAAGUUUGCAAUAAAGCCAUUAUGAAGUCAAGAAUGGAGGUUCCAUUUUUAAAGAACUCAGAGGGGGUAGAUCUUGAUUGACAUCUCAUCUGGGGUCACCUGGUCUUCAACUGAGAGAUCUUUUGGUUCGCCACGGAUGCCCCUUGCAGUUAUGGAAGUUCACUCUUUGAGAGAGAGAUAAAUAAACAUUAAAAUGUAAAGAAAAAAAAAAUCAGCAAUGGAAGGAAAAAGGAACAAAAAGCAAUCCAUUGGCGUCAAGCUUGACUGGACCACUCCACUGCUCUGCUGCCGUUAGUGAACCUGACCCUGCAGCAGGAGUCACAGACUCACCACUCACCUCAAGUCCUCACUCCCUGGACCCUCAAUCUACACAUCACUUUGUCUUUUAUUUCCCUGAGAAAUACAGGCCAUCAGUUUGCAGAUCCCUCCUUUCCCCUUACCCUGCAAAUCUCCAUCUAUUUGGAAAAGUGUGCCUCCUACAUUCCAAAGCUAACCCCUCCUCCUCUGCCACUAAUAUCAGCCCUACCUGCCUUCUUCUGUAACUUGCUCCAUUAAUUCCCUCCCCUCUCCCCCAGGUCUCCCUGCCUAUGAACAUAUUCAAGGACAUCAUAUCUUAAAAACAAACAAAUAUCAGGCACAAUGGCUCACACCUGUAAUCCCAGCACUUUGAGAGGUCAAGGCAGGAGAAUCACUUGAAUCCAGGGGUUCAAGACCAGCCUGGGAAACAUAGGGAGACCCUAUCUCUACAAAAAAUAUUUUUUAAAAAAAUUAGCCAGGUGUGGUGGUGUGCACCUGUAGUCCCAACUACUCAGAAGGCUGGGGUGGGAGAAAUAUUUCAGCCCAGGACGUCACUGUGCACAAUUGCUUUACUUUUUUUUCCCUUGGUAUAGACUUGUUGAAGAGUAAGCCUUCAUGUACUGUUUCCUCACUUUACAUUCACUCUCAACUGGAGACAAUAUAGAGUCUUCGCAGAUGCAGCUUUCUCCAGACCAACAAUGUGGUUAGACAUCUGGUUUUUCAUUGUUGUUGUUUGAUUUCUCUGACUAGCUUCCCUGACCAGAGGUCGUUUUGAGUUUCCUUCUCUGGAAUUUGACCACUGAGCAGAGACACAUAGGAGAGAAGACGUGAAUGCUGAGUCAUCAAUCAGCAUCACUGGGAAGAAAAAGCCUCUCAGUUUCUUCUGCUGGGACUCCCAGAGCUGGAGUAUUUUCUGCUCUUCCUAAGGCCUGAAUCUCACCUUGUCACCCAGGCUGGAGUGCAAUGGCAUAAUCUCAGCUCACUGCAACCUCUGUCUCCCAGGCUCAAAUGAUUCUCCUGCCUCAGCCUCCUGAGUAGCUGGGAUUACAGGCGCCCAUGGACUACCAGCUUUUUAAGUAGACUUUUUAGCCAAAGGCCAAGGGAAACUACCCUCUUCCUACUGGGGUUCAAAUUGAUUAAAAUGGUUUGCUUUGACUUUUGUUGAAGUCUCUUUAUUUUCUUUUUAAGAUUAUGUUAAAUUAUAAUCCACAUUGGCUUUCUUUUUACAGGUAAACUUUUUCUCUUCUAGAUUUCUAGACGGCCUUCCCCCACUUCGCUUCUCUCUCUGCCAUUUUCCUCCCCUCUCCCGCCUCCCCAAGUUAGAAGAGGCUGACAAAAAGAGGCUCAUCAAAGUUAAAUGUUGCCAACAUAAAUUGGUCCCUCUUCUCUUCCUUGAUGUGACUGGUCUCUCAACCUAUUGAUGGCAUCCAGUUCCAACUUUCCUCUUCUCAUUUGGGACAUUGGGAGGAGAGUAGUCUCUAUUUUUAAUAACAAAGUAG
rnacentral:lncRNA from 10 species